rnacentral:rRNA from 1 species
CUGGCUCAGGAUGAACGCUGGCGGCGUGCCUAAUACAUGCAAGUCGAACGAGGUAGCAAUACCGAGUGGCGAACGGGUGAGUAACACGUAGGUAACCUGCCCUUAAGCUUGGGAUACCCAGAGGAAACUUGGCUAAUACCGGAUAACAACAGAGAAGGCAUCUUCUUUGCUUGAAAGGCCCCUUCAAGGGUCACUUAAGGAUGGACCUGCGGCGCAUUAGCUAGUUGGUGAGAUAACAGCCCACCAAGGCGAGGAUGCGUAGCCGAACUGAGAGGUUGAUCGGCCACAUUGGAACUGAGACACGGUCCAAACUCCUACGGGAGGCAGCAGUAAGGAGUUUUCGGCAAUGGGGGAAACCCUGACCGAGCAACGCCGCGUGAGCGAUGACGGCCCUAUGGGUUGUAAAGCCUCUGUUGUAAGCCAUGAAUGAUAGCUUGAGGAAAUGCAAGCUAUUUGACGACAGCUUACCAGAAAGCCACGGCUAACUACGUGCCAGCAGCAGC